AGCAGCCGCGGUAAUUCCAGCUCCAAUAGCGUAUAUUAAAGUUGUUGCAGUUAAAAAGCUCGUAGUUGAAUUUCGGGAUUAAUAUGUUGGUCGUGCCUUGGUACGUACUGGCAUUAUUGAUUCCUACCUUCUGAAGAACCUCGAUGUCAUUAAUUUGGUGUCUUGGGGAAUCAGGACCGUUACUUUGAAAAAAUUAGAGUGUUUAAAGCAGGCUCGCGCUUGAAUACAUUAGCAUGGAAUAAUGAAAUAGGACGUUUGAUUCUAUUUUGUUGGUUUCUAGGAUCGACGUAAUGAUUAAUAGGGAUAGUUGGAGGCAUUAGUAUUCAAUUGUCAGAGGUGAAAUUCUUGGAUUUAUUGAAGACUGACUACUGCGAAAGCAUUUGCCAAGGAUGUUUUCAUUAAUCAAGAACGAAAGUUAGGGGAUCGAAGACGAUCAAAUACCGUCGUAGUCUUAACCAUAAACUAUGCCGACUAGGGAUCGGAUGAUGUUAAUUUUUAAUGACUCAUUCGGCGCCUUAAC
rnacentral:rRNA from 1 species